rnacentral:rRNA from 1 species
GUGUCACCCGCCGCGGUAAUACAGAGGGUGCAAGCGUUGUUCGGAAUUAUUGGGCGUAAAGCGCGUGUAGGCGGCGUGACAAGUCGGGUGUGAAAGCCCUCAGCUCAACUGAGGAAGUGCGCCCGAAACUGUCGUGCUUGAGUGCCGGAGAGGGUGGCGGAAUUCCCCAAGUAGAGGUGAAAUUCGUAGAUAUGGGGAGGAACACCGGUGGCGAAGGCGGCCACCUGGACGGUAACUGACGCUGAGACGCGAAAGCGUGGGGAGCAAACAGGAUUAGAUACCCUGGUAGUCCACGCCGUAAACGAUGAGAACUAGGUGUCGUGGGAGUUGACCCCCGCGGUGCCGAAGCUAACGCAUUAAGUUCUCCGCCUGGGAAGUACGGUCGCAAGACUAAAACUUAAAUGAAUUGGCGG